AAUGAAUUGCCUGAUAAAAGGAUUACCUUGAUAGGGUAAAUUAUGUUGUUAAUACUACAUUCAUUA
rnacentral:tRNA from 1 species